ACGCCGUUACAAAGCGCGGAGCGACGGAUCUGAGCAGAGAGCCGGCCACGCGGCCGAGCAGCGUCCUCGCGCCAGAACGCGAGCCGCGCCUGCGCGGGAGGCCGGCGGCGGAGGGAGGCCGCGGGCUGCGAGCGGCGAGGCGCGAAGGCCGCAGGGCAGAAGCGCUCGGCCCAGGACGCGGGCGGUGACGGCUGCCCGACAGCGCGUGACGUGGGUCUGGCUUGGGGACCCUGGUCAUAGACGGUGAGGAUGAGGAAGAAGGCGGAACGACGACGAGAACCGCGACGUCGCAGGCGCAAAAGCCGCCUUUCCCGGACUGCCUGGCUCGGCCGGCAGGGCUUCCAGAACAAGCCUCGCGCGGGUCGGAGCGCGAAGCCUCCCGCGUCCAAGCGUGUCUCUCUGGGAGUUCCUCAAGAUGGAGACUUGACUUCUUAAACGGUCUGCGUUUAGAAGAGCUACAGGCGCGGCUCAAAGCGCCGCCCCGUGCCGGGAAGAGAAGAGGAGGAACGUCGUCAAAGAACCCCGCGGAGAGACGCCGUUGGCACGCCGCGGACGCAGAGAAAGGAAGGCGGCCCAGCUUUUGAGCUCAGUUUCUGCUCUGGUUGUUUCGGCUGUUCUGGGGAACAAGGAACCGCUGAGAAUGGAAGGAGUAUUAGGGGUUUUUUAACCCUAAGAUUUAUGCUCUGCCAUAGACGAAGGUCAAAACUGGUGAUGGUGCACACCCAGGUUUCAGUUACCCGUGGUCAACUGUUGCCCAAAAAUAGAUUUGUCAAUUCCUCUAAUUGAAGCAAAUGUUUCAGUGAGGCAAUCAGUAAAGAAAUGAAGCAUCCAUCUGGCAUCAUCCCAUUGGGAGGAAAGCUGAAGACCAAAAGAAGGUAAACAAUGACAAAAAAAAUCUCUGGAGGAGCAAAUCGAGGUGGAGUUGAUGGAUAAGGGUAACAUACCCACUCCAAUCAUCUGGAAGUUAGUCUAGGCGAACAACAAGUCUCUGAGAUAGAAGAUGGACAUGACAAACACCUGCCAACAACAUCAAAUAAACAUGAAAUGUUUCAGAUACACAAUGCAAAUUGUUAAUAAGAAUUACUACCUGGAAGAUUGUAUUUUAGUGACUAUAUAUGGAAGCCAUUAAGCCUUAAUUGUUGGAAGGAAGGGAGGGAAAGAUGAAGGAACAAAGGCCAAGGGAAGGAGUGUUUCUGCUGUCUGCCAUCAGCAGUACCCAACCUAGUCAUGGAUCCGCUUGUGCCUCAGCCAGUUAGCCUACCCAGGGUGAUAUACAAGUGAAUACAAUGCUGUUUUAAGCUCUGUUACUAGCUUUAUUGCUGCUUAUAUUUUUAAACAUGCUUUUUCUGGCAUCCUUAUCACUCUGCUUCCCUACGCACUAGCAGUAGUACUUGGACUUAACAAGCAGGGGGCAUAACUAACCUACCCCAGGAACUUGGAAAGUAGAUAAUCUCUGACAGCUAAAUCCUAAAACAAAUGCUUGACAGAUCAGAACAGAAUUAUGCCAACUUAUUGUCAAGAGGCAGAAUGGCUCUCUGGCCAGCAAUAUCAGACCAGAAUCAGAAAGAUAUUAGCCUAGCUCAGGAAAUAUUGUAACAAGAAGAAGAAUGAAUGAGCAGUAACACAGGCAGAGAAAAAAGGCAAGUGAGGAGCAAAUUCUGACAUUGUCUUCUGCCCUGUACACAGGGGAUGACGCCCUGUCCCCAAAGAGCAGGAACCUGUUCCUGGGGCAGGAUAACCUGUUAAGGGGGUGUGCGCACGGGGCCACCACAUCAGACCCCUCCUGCUAAGAGCCCAGGCUCCUUGAGCAGCUUCUGACUAUAACUUGGCUCCUGUGUAGA